rnacentral:rRNA from 1 species
AUUGAACGCUGGCGGCAGGCCUAACACAUGCAAGUCGAGCGAGCGGCGGACGGGUGUGUAAUGUGUGGGGAUCUGCCCGAUAGAGGGGGAUCACUUCGGGAAACUGUGGCUAAUACCGCAUACUAUCAGGUGACCCCAUAUGGUAUUAGCUAGUAGGUGGGGUAAAGGCUCCCCUAGGCGACGAUCUCUAGCUGGUCUGAGAGGAUGAUCAGCCACACUGGGACUGAGACACGGCCCAGACUCCUACGGGAGGCAGCAGUGGGGAAUAUUGCACAAUGGGCGCAAGCCUGAUGCAGCCAUGCCGCGUGUAUGAAGAAGGCCUUAGGGUUGUAAAGUACUUUCAGCGGGGAGGCGUUACCCGCAGAAGAAGCACCGGCUAACUCCGUGCCAGCAGCCGCGGUAAUAC